UCAUGUCACCUCAUAAAAGGCAUCUCCUUUAAAUCAGGCAGGCAUCAUGAGUGCUGUGACACCCCACAGACUGCCCUUUAUCCUGGAGGUGACCCAUGACCACUCACUGAAACACUCUGUCACCGGGGGCCACUGUCAUCACGAUGCCUGGAAGAGUGAAGAAAGGCCUGAUUGAUCACAAGGUCCUAUCAAAUGUCAAAGCUGGCCCUGGGUGACCUCCCAUCUAUUCAGAGCUGCUUUGAUUUAAUCUCCAAACUGGCUGCUUCUCCAGGCUGUGAGUUCUAUCUGCAACCCAUGUGUCAGCAUUGAGAUAUGACCUGCUUCACGCUCCAUUCAUCUCAUUUGAAGGACGGAAAUUAAACUCAAGGGUCGAAGAGGGGAACUGCUCAAAAUACACACACAUUAACUGAAGCCUUUUGUGUAGGUGCAUUAUAGGAGUUUGAAAAACCAUUAAAUAUUAUAUUAAAAUGAAAUUCAUCAUUACUCUACUGAAAUGCUUUAGAGCUUUUCCUCCCUCAAAGGCUCUCCAUUCAUGCUUCUUUCUUCUCCUUUCUGUUUGUCGUAAUCAUAUGUACCUGAUCUCAUUAGUGUUCAGUGGAGAAGAGGAGGAAAAACUUACAAUUUUUCAGUUUCUGUAAAAAUGGUGCCCUUUAGAAAAUUCAUGUGUUGUCUAUAAUUUGCAUAGGCAACUUAAAAAGAAGGCAGAUAAGAAAAGCUGAUAAUCAUGGUAAUAGAAAUGUAGCCUGGUUAAAGGGAUCAAUAUUCAUUUACAUUUCACUUUUUAAAGUUUUUUUUUAAAUUCAAUUAAAACUUAACUUCAGGAAUAGUCUUUUGACUAAUAGGACAUCUUGAAACAGUGUAUAUCUGUAUAUUUCUGGGUCUACUUUUAUUUAAUAUUACUUAAUUUUUUUCGGUGCUUAAUCGCAACCAGGGUCUCAGGCAUGCUCAGUGAGUGGCCACAUUGAGCUAUGUGCUCCAGCCCAAGGGUUUGCUCUUUAUUUACAAAUUCUCCUUGCUUUUUUCAUUGGCCUCUUUAUACUAUUAAUCAUGGCUAGUAACUAAAUGACAGCUUCACUCCAGUCAAGUUUAAAAAAUAAAAACUCUGUUUUUCACUUCAGGGGCCCCAGUAUUAUGAGACUGAGAUGACACUAUUUCAGUUGUAAUGGUAAGAUUACCUAUUUUUAUUUAUUCACUUGAUUAUGCAUUCAGGUUAUUAUUUGAAAUCUGGCAUUGAUGACAUCUAUGUAGGGAAAAUCUUUUUAUGUAAUUAAAAUGUACAUGGUGUAUUUUGUGUUAUGGUAGUACAUAUUCAGUUUGAAAAAAUAAACAGCAUAGACAGGGGAAAAAAGAGAAUAUUAAUAUAAUAGACACCAAAAUUAUUAUUAAGCAGACAUAUUCAACAUUAAUACUUCAAUUAGUGCUUAUUUUUCCAUUUUAUGUGCAGACAUUUUAUUUCCUCUCUUUAAAAUCACAAUAGUCUUGCUUAGAAGACUACUUUUCAGUGGUUAUGAUGCUCUUCUUUCGUGUCUAAGUAACAUCACCUCAUAUCGAGAUGAUAAUUUUAUUUUACUAAUACUAUAUUGAUGGUCAUGUAGAUUUGUAACAUCCUUUACUAUUGUAAAUGUCAUUAUAUUUGCUUUAUUUUCUUCAAAAUUCUCAAAUUUUGUAAAAAGAUGUUUUAAAUGUAAUACUGUAGUCAAAGCUAACAUCUUUUAUAGUCUUUCACUUGACUAUUCUUUUGGGAAUAACUUUCCUUCCUAAAUAAUCAUUUGCUUUUCCUUUAAUAUUCAUUGUUUGUUUAUUGUAUAUAUAACAUGUGCAGUAGAAUAACUAACAUACUGAAUAUUAAUGCUGUUUCUUCAUAAAUCAUCUCAUGGGACUUAUGUUAAAACUAUGCUCAUACGGAGAGAAACGUGAGCAUCUGAAGCAUUCAAAGAAUGCCUUUUAACAACAUAGUUUUGCAAGGAAGCAGAAGAACAUAUGAUUACUUCUCUCACACUGCCUCUCAGUAAAAUCCCUCUUCCCGUACCUCCCUAUGGAAAUAUCUUAUUACUCAAAGCAGAGGAUGUUGGUGAAAUGCAUUUUGUGAGUUAAUUCAUUUUUUACAGUGCCAGGUGGGAAGUGGGCUUAUUGUGUUAAUGUAGCAUUCUGAAUAGAACUUUCUGCAAUGAUAUAAAUGUUCUGUAUGUGGAUUGUUGAGCAUGGAAACCACUGGCUACUUGUGGAUAUUGAAGAUGUGUAAAUGUGACUAUGUGAGCGAGCAACUCAAUAAUUAAUUUUAUGUAAUUAUAUUUAAACCAAUUAACCUCAUGCACCUAGUGGUUAUCAUAUUAAAUAACAUAUUGAAUGGUUUCACUACUAACAAGUGUUUUAAUAGUUUGUGAGGCACCUUUUACCAGUUAUUCUUUCAUUUCAUUGAAGAAUAAAUAUUAGAUGAUAUUAAAAUCUUGGACUAUAAUUAAUCAAAAGAAAGAUAUGAAAAAAACUACUUGUGCACAGAGAGAUGUUUUUCAUACUUUCAGAAAAGACUGAAAAUUUCAAUAAGUAAAAGAUGAUAAAAGUAUCUUCAUGGGCUUAUUUGUUAAAAUAGUUUGAUGGAGGAAGAUGAUCUGAUGUCUAAGAUUUGGUCUUGACUCUAAAUACAUACUGACCUGUUGAAGUAACUUACUUCACUUUUUCUGGUUUUGUCACUUAGUAUUCAUGGUAAAGGGUUUGGAACAGAUGAAUUUCUUUGUUCUUAUCAUAAAUAUUAUAAAAUUUUUCCUAUUCAAAAUCAACUACUUCUUUCCUCUUACCUUAUUGUUUACAAACAUCCAGUGACAAAUAUCUUUUAAUUGUUCAAUAUUUCUUGAAUGUAUAGAUAUGCCAUAAUUACGUGUCUCACUGAAUUAACUCCUUUAACCAUCCAUUCUUAUAGCCUGAUAAUUUUACAUCUAGUGGUGCAAGAUUUUUAAAUGCAGAUGCUUUUGAUGCGGGAGAAAUCCUUUGGUACAAUGAGACAGGAUAACUGGGCACUUCCUCCUCUUGAACUGUGAAAUGGGUCUACUUCCUUAGAUAGCUAGUGUACUCCAGCUUUUGCCUGAGUACCAUAAAAGUAAGAAAAUAGAAGAGGUAGAAUUUCAGCACACUCAUCAGGUCAGAUUUUCAUCUCAGAAACAUCAGGUAUUUAAUAGUUCCAGUGGAUAAUAGUGAGAUUUUAAUGUGGUGAUAUGUUUUAAACCACCUAAAUUGUUAGCUUGAACAAGAACAGCGACACUACAUUUUUUUCCUGACACAUAGUUCUAUGUCACAAACAAUGUAAGAUGCUCACACAUAUGGGAAAAUAUUGUCCAAAGAGAAAUGCAUUAUACAAGCAUUAGUUGUUGUGAUUAAAAGUGAUAUUUUAGUUACUCAUGUUUUGGAAUAUAUUCUCCUGUUGGAAUGAAUAGUCACUUAACAUUUUCUGUGCUCAUUCACUAUGAGCUCAUUCCUCCUUUGCUAGGACUUAACCCUACAAGAAGAGUUGAAGGAAAACUCAUUAUAUUCUUCACUCAGAAGAGAUGAUAUUAAAAAAUUAAUGACCAUUUCAGUCCUCUGGGUUGUCACAUAAUCUGUGGGAGGGGAGGAAGUCUGUUACUGUCUUUUUCAAGGGCAAUUCACAACAUUUGGCAGGAUUAAUUCCUGGGGUUUCAACUGCUUCUUCUCAUUGGAGAAUGUAAGUGCUGACAGUGGCUCCUUUUUAAAAAAGUAGCUAUAUUUUAGUUUAAAUUAGUGUAUCUGUUUUGAGGAAAAGGAAGCAGUGCAUAACAGGAGCUAUACAAAUAUCUGUAUCUUUUAUUCUCAUGAAUUUAACAACCAAAGUGUAUCUUAAGAAAAUACCUCAAUAGAAACCAAAGGCUUAUGGAAUGAGCAUCUGUCUGUGUCACUUUCCUUGCUCUUGGGAUGAAACACUUGACAUCCACAAGUUAGAAGAGGAAUGGUUCAUUUGGGCUGGCAGUCCAACAUCAGCAGGCACCAAGGCAGGAAGGACUUAAUCAAAGGGUCUGAUGGAGGAAAGUUGCUGUGAAGCGCGGGAAGGGAGAAGCUGAAAAAAGAGAUGCACCCUUCCAGGUCACAUCCCAAGGAACCUACCUCUUUUGACCAGAUCCUACCUCUUAGCAGCACAUAUGAUUCUGAAGUAAGUGGACUAAUUUCCUGAUCCGUAGAGCACCCCCAUGAUUCAUUCACCCACAAAAGCCCAACUUCUACAUAUGAGACUGUUGGAUAACAUGUUAAAUCUAAACAACAAUGUCUUUUUGAGUGAUAAAUUGUGAUCAAAAGAACUUGGAGAAUGUUAGCUGUGCAAUAUUUUUAAAAAUGCUUGAAGUUACUGUGCCAACAAGGAAAUACAUUGGAAAGAUUUUUAACACUUAGAAUUUUUGAGCUUAUCCAUAUAUAUGGAAAAUGUUUUUACCAUAUUGUCAAUUAAGCAAGAAAAGCUGAGUGCAAUGUUUGUACUCAACUGUGUGCAAUAUUCAUAUGGAUGUGGAUCAUAACAUGCCCCAAGUGGGAAGGGUUUCUUUGGUGGGUAAAGGGUUUGCAGUGAGUAAAGAAUGUGAACCCAGGGGUUCCGGUAAAGAUGGUGGAUAGAUAACAACAGGCUACAGAGGCUCCGUGAAAUAGUUAAUUUAGAUUCCAAAAAUAAUACAGUGUGGGGAGUCCCAAACAGAGGGAGAUGGUCCCACCCAACCUAGGAACAAACUAAGCUGAGAGAAUCCAAUUAAACACACAGUCCCAGUGCUAGUAUUACAACAGCUAAAGGCUCGGUGCUCCCACUGCGGAGUGGGAACUCACACAGCCAAGACUUACCAAGCUACCAAAAGCCCACUGCAGCUUCAACUCACUGGAGAUGCACUCACACUGAGUCAGGGGUUGGCAAGCUGAAUGGAGAUGGCAGGGAACCUGCAUUGACAUGCGGUCAGUGACAGGAAUAAAACCAGUCCACAGAAAGAAGGGUUCCAACAGACAACAUUCUGGGGUUGGCAGACUGGUGAGAACAAGGAGCAGCAGUGACUUCAUUCAGCUGCUCCCUUUUCAAGUGGGAUUGGUGGGGUGUGCUUGGCCUACGUCAUGCCCCAGGCUGAGACCCAAUAGGCUAGCCCAAACCAAGUCCCUACGCCUGGCAGUGCACCCUAAUGCAGUGAAUCCCUCAGCAGGUUGACUGACCCAGAGGGGAGGACACAGCAUACACUGCCCCUGUUUGUACCUCUGUACUACAGUGCAGUGGGCAGGAGCACCUAGUCAGCAUGCUUAAGACAAACUGUAACCAACAAAGAAAGAAACACCUGUGUGAAAGGAACAAAAAAUAUGAGAAGAGGAAGCAACAAGAAAGGGCUGCCAACCCCCAACCCUGAGAACAUUGAUUCAGGAAAGGUAAAUGCAAAGGAGAUUGAGGAUAGCAAACAAGCAAUAUCAGACACGGCAUCAGUGGGCAUAAAGUGAUAUCUUUGGGACCUUAUAGACGAGUUCAAAAGUGAAAUAUUUAACCAAGUAAAUCAAGAUAUAAAUAUAAUAAUAAAAGAAAUGCUAAACACCUCUCAAGAAGAUACAUAUGGAAGAAUGGAGGAACAAAAAAAAAGGGGGGAGAACCAUUCAAUGGAGAAUAUAAAGAAAACAUAGAAUACAUGAAGCAGGUUCAAAGAGAUUAGCAGGAAAUUAAAAACUCCAUUGAAAGCUGGCAAAACUGCUUGAAAGAGACUAAGGAUAGAUUAUCCAAACUGGAAGACAAGUUUGCAAUGUGGUAUUAUGAAAGGAAAAAAAUUCUUAAAAAUAACAAGGAAAGAAGCAGUAACAAUACAAAGGCUAGAAGACGACAAGAGGAUCUAUAACUUAAGAAUAAAGAAUAUGAAUGAAGAAGCUGGGGUACAAACAAAGGGAACUACAAAGGAUAUUCACAGAAAUAAUCAAGGAAAAUCUCCCAAACAUAGGAAAAGGAAAUGAUAUGCAGAUGUAUGAGGCAUACAGAACUCCAGCCAGCUACAACCAAAACAGAGCUACAUCCAGGCAUAUAAUUAUCAAGAUCCCAGAAAUCCAAUAUAAGAACAGACUAUUAAAAGCAGUCAGAGACAAGAAACAGAUUACUUACAAAGGAAAGCCCAUCAGAAUUACAGCAGACUUCUCGGCAUAAACCAUCAAAUCAAGAAGAGGAUGGAGUGAAGUAUUCUAAGCUCUGAAAGGAAAUAACUUCCAGCCCAAAUUGAUGUAUCCUGAAAAAUUGUCUCUAGAAAUUAAUGGAGAAAUAAGAUGCUUCCAAGAUAAAGAGGAACUGGGGGAAUUCGUAACCAUAAAUCCAACUCUACAGAGAAUGCUGCAGGACAUUCUAAAGAGAGAGAAAAGUACCAGGAUUUCAGGAACAGUACAUAGCAGCCUCAAUGAAUGGAGCAGAAAGCGAAAAUAAGAAAACAAACAAGCAACUAAUGAUGGAAAAAGAGCUCAACAGGAAUGAGGCAGAGAAGGUUGGAUAUAAUUUCCAAUAUAGAUGGUCUAGAUACACUAAAUUAAGGUGAAAAAAAAAAGAGAGAAUCUCAGGCAGUGGAUCAAGAGGUAGGAUCCUCCAAGAUGCUCUUUAUAGGAAAUAUAAUUAACCUGAAGAAGGGUAUAUGGACUGAAAAUCAAAUAUGAGAAAACGGUACUCUAUGUGACAGGGAACCAGAGAAUAAUAGCAACAAAUGGACCAGUAUUUAUGGAUAGGUUGGAAAGACAGGCUUUAACAGGUAAAGAAAUACAACUAGAGAUCAAGUCCAGGAGUGAGAAGGUUCAGAACCACUUAGGUAAACAGUAGGUUUCCCCCCAAUAUAAAACUGAGGGUGUUGGGGGGACCCAAAAAUGCACAUUACACCAUGGGGGAGUGAAAGGGGAGGAAUAAUCUUUAAAAAGACAGCAAAAGAUAUUGCUAAUAGUGUAUCAGGAAUUAAAGGCCAUAUUACUCAUACCGCUCUGCUUAGACAGAACUUAUUCUAUACCAGUUUGUAUACAACCACUAGAUCUGAGGGCACAGACAGCUAUCCCCCAUCAGAAUAUAGCACAGUAAUCAUCUUUAAUUUCCUAUUAAUCUGGAGCCCUGUAUAACUUAUACUGUUAUAUCAUGACUGAUCUUAGCUAAACCUGAUUUGUUUGAUUGCUGUUUAUUAUUGACAGAUUUUAUUCAAAACUAUUAAAGUUGAUAGUAUCAAGUCUGAGAGUAAACACAAAAUGCCAAUGAUUCACUAUGAUACCCAUCCUGGUUUGAUUACUACCUGUUUUUGUAAUUCUACACUAUCUACAAAAUUGUAUUUUUAUUAAUACUGUUAUGUACUGAUAUAUUCAAUUAUCUGAUGAUAUAGCCAAUUCUAUUGAUGAUAACAAGAGACAACACAGUAACCAUGAUAGAACUCCUUGUACAGCAGUUUUAUAUGUCCUUUUAGAUUUAUGUGUCUAUAGGAAUAUGUUUUGUUCUGUCCUGCUUUGUUCUGUUUCUCCCUCUAAUAUAGAAAGGAUAGAAAUACAUGUUAAGACUCAUACUUGUGUAAAACCUAUAAACAGUUUACGAGAGCUGAUCUUAUGACACAUGAUGAAAUGAAAAUAUACUUUGAAGGAAAAAAAGGCACUAUAGGACCCAAAGCUGAUUCCGGAGUGUCAUGAUGUGAAAUUCAGCACUAGUGUUAUUCUUUGUUUAGAGUGAUUGUAGUCUGCUCUGGUGUGUUUAAUCUCAACAUAAACAAAGAUAUGGAUAAAUGCAUGCAUGUUUAAGAGUAUAAGAUUGAUAACCAUAUUACUAAGUUCUUAUUAGAUAGUUGAACAGAAUUAUUUGCAGUCUUGCUGUUUGAAUUCCAUUUAUAUGUUCCACUUUUGUAUCUUGAACAACUAUUUGUAAGAGGACAAUAUGUAAACAUCAACAAGUGAUUUAUUACUGUUUUUUUUUCUUUGAAAGUAUGUAUUACUUCUACCUGGGUUCUGUUUUGUUUUGUCUUUCUUUAAAUAAGAUUUUUUUUUUUAAAAAAGCAAAGCUAAUAUUACUGUUGGGUUUACAUUCCAACUCUUCCAUUAGCUGUGGCAGAUUAUGAAUCCUUUGCAUAUCUAUUUUCUUAUCAGGUAAUUUUUUUCUUAUGAGAGGUUAAAAAAAAAACAAUGCCACUAAAAAAGAGUUUAGGACACAGUAGAAAUUCAAUAACAUUUUUCCCAUUGCUAAAUACUCUCAAGGAUUGAGAAAAUUUGCUCAAUUUGCUUGAUCUUUAUAGGAAUUUUAAUGUUUUUAUUUUUUACUUACAUAGGAAUUUUUAGCAGAUGACUAGAAAUUAAAGAACAAUGAUAAUUUUCCCAUAACUGCAAAAUAACCUUUACAUUUGAAUAUACUUCAGAAGGAUGUUAAUAUCCUGGGAUGAAGAUCAGGCCAAUUUCAAUAUGAAGUUGAAACUGUAGAGCCAUGAAGAGUAUAUUAACCAAUGUUGAUGAUGAGCUACAGUAUGUUAAGAUUAUGCUCUGUUAACAUUCUGGGAGUUCCUCACCAUGAAUCUGAGGAUGGAAUGUCUCUCAUAUAUAAAAAAAUUAAUUCCAAGAUGGCUAGAAACUUACUACAUAGUAUAUAUUAGUAUAUAAAAUAUAUUGAUAAGUGAAAAAAGAAUUGUGACUUUUGCCACUUGGUAGAGGGAUUUGAGAGAACAAGGAGAAGAUUAAACAAAAGAUUAAAAUUCUUUAUCAAGUAAGGCUAUAUCUGGCAUGCUUAAUUACAAAAGGAAAUUUAAAACGAGUGCAUAUGCAUUGCUGCAUGUAUUAAUGUAGAAUUUAAUUGGUUUGGAGUAAAUUAAUGUUUACUUGCAUAUUCCUGGCAAUUUGUUAUAAGCUGUGUAAUUUUAAAUUGGUUUCUUGAAAAUGCUGAAUAAAACACUGCAAUUCACA